GACGAACGCUGGCGGCGUGCUUAACACAUGCAAGUCGAACGAGAUCCAAUGUGUAGCAAUACACAGGAAGAUCUAGUGGCGAACGGGUGAGGAACACGUGAGAAACGUACCCCAGACUGUGGGAUAACAGUCCGAAAGGACUGCUAAUACCAAAUAACGUCUGAAGUCCGCAUGGACAUCUGACGAAAGGGAGUCCGGUUUGGGAGCGUCUCGCGGACCUAUCAGCUAGGUGGAGGGGUAACGGCCCACCAAGGCAACGACGGGCAGCUGGUCUGAGAGGAGAGUCAGGCACACUGGGACUGAGACACGGCCCAGACUCCUACGGGAGGCAGCAGUGGGGAAUCUUGCGCAAUGGGCGAAAGCCUGACGCAGCAACGCCGCGUGCGGGAAGAAGGCUUUCGGGCUGUAAACCGCUUUAAGUAGGAACGAAACUGACGGUACCUACAGAGGAAGGAGCGGCCAACUAUGUG
rnacentral:rRNA from 1 species